GGGGUUGUAGCUUAAUGGUAAAGCGUACUGAACAGGAGAUGCUAACAACCUGUAUACUGGUUCUACCUUUCGAGGACUCGGUACUCGUGGUUGGAGGCAUUUGCUUGCUCAGUGAGAUGGCUGGUUCGAGUCCAGCCAACUCCA